GGAGGACAUGGCUUCUUAGGGGUCGGCGGUGGAAGCUCUACCUUCGGCGGUGGGUCGUGAACUGGUACAGGAGGUGGGUGCUCAAUCUUCGGAGGUUUAGGUGGACAAGGCUUCUUAGUAAUCGGCGGUGGAAGUUCCACCUUUGGUGGUGGCUCGUGAACGGGGACAGGGGGUGGAACCUCUUCCUUUGGCGGUGGCUCGUAGACCGGAACCGGAGGAGGAACCUCCUCGGGAGGGCUGUAUUUAGGUGGACAGGGUAUCUUGAAUUUAGGAAAAGGUGGAAGUACCAAAGGCGGAUGAUCAAAGCCCUUGAAAG
rnacentral:lncRNA from 1 species